GACGAACGCUGGCGGCGUGCUUAACACAUGCAAGUCGAGCGGUAAGGCCCUUUCGGGGGUACACGAGCGGCGAACGGGUGAGUAACACGUGGGUGACCUGCCCUCAGCUCUGGGAUAAGCCUGGGAAACCGGGUCCAAUACCGGAUAUGACUCCAUGACGCAUGUUGUGGGGUGGAAAGCCUUGUGCGGCUGAGGAUGGGCCCGCGGCCUAUCAGCUUGUUGGUGGGGUGANGGCCUACCAAGGCGACGACGGGUAGCCGGCCUGAGAGGGCGACCGGCCACACUGGGACUGAGACACGGCCCAGACUCCUACGGGAGGCAGCAGUGGGGAAUCUUGCGCAAUGGGCGAAAGCCUGACGCAGCGACGCCGCGUGAGGGAUGACGGCCUCGGUU
rnacentral:rRNA from 1 species